rnacentral:rRNA from 1 species
GACGAACCGUGCGAACGUUGUUCGGAAUCACUGGGCUUAAAGGGCGCGUAGGCGGGCUAUCAAGUCUGGGGUGAAAUCCCGCGGCUCAACCGUGGAACUGCCUUAGAUACUGACGGCCUUGAGGAAGGUAGGGGCAUGCGGAACUGUAGGUGGAGCGGUGAAAUGCGUUGAUAUCUACAGGAACUCCGGUAGGCGAACGG